UACGUAGGGUGCGAGCGUUUGUCCGGAAUUACUGGGCGUAAAGAGCUCGUAGGUGGUUUGUCGCGUUGUUCGUGAAAACUCACAGCUCAACUGUGGGCGUGCGGGGCGAUACGGGCAGACUGGAGUACUGCAGGGGAGACUGGAAUUCCUGGUGUAGCGGUGAAAUGCGCAGAUAUCAGGAGGAACACCGGUGGCGAAGGCGGUUCUCUGGGCAUUACCUGACGCUGAGGAGCGAAAGUGUGGGGGAGCGAACAGG
rnacentral:rRNA from 1 species